AUACGAAGGGGGCUAGCGUUGUUCGGAAUUACUGGGCGUAAAGCGCGCGUAGGCGGACUGAUCCGUUGGGGGUGAAAUCCCAGGGCUUAACCCUGGAACUGCCUCCAAUACUGUCAGUCUUGAGUUCGGGAGAGGUGAGUGGAAUUCCUAGUGUAGAGGUGAAAUUCGUAGAUAUUAGGAAGAACACCAGUGGCGAAGGCGGCUCACUGGCCCGAUACUGACGCUGAGGCGCGAAAGCGGGGGGAGCAAACAGGAUUAGAAACCCUAGUAGUCC
rnacentral:rRNA from 1 species